UGGGAAUUUUGGACAAUGGGCGAAGCCUGAUCCAGCAAUGCCGCGUGUGUGAAGAAGGCCUUCGGGUUGUAAAGCACUUUUGUCCGGAAAGAAAUCCUUGGCUCUAAUACAGUCGGGGGAUGACGGUACCGGAAGAAUAAGCACCGGCUAACUACGUGCCAGCAGCCGCGGUAAUACGUAGGGUGCAAGCGUUAAUCGGAAUUACUGGGCGUAAAGCGUGCGCAGGCGGUUUGCUAAGACCGAUGUGAAAUCCCCGGGCUCAACCUGGGAACUGCAUUGGUGACUGGCAGGCUAGAGUAUGGCAGAGGGGGGUAGAAUUCCACGUGUAGCAGUGAAAUGCGUAGAGAUGUGGAGGAAUACCGAUGGCGAAGGCAGCCCCCUGGGCCAAUACUGACGCUCAUGCACGAAAGCGUGGGGAGCAAACAGGAUUAGAUACCCUGGUAGUCCACGCCCUAAACGAUGUCAACUAGUUGUUGGGGAUUCAUUUCCUUAGUAACGUAGCUAACGCGUGAAGUUGACCGCCUGGGGAGUACGGUCGCAAGAUUAAAACUCAAAGGAAUUGACGGGGUCAUAGCUGUUUCCU
rnacentral:rRNA from 1 species